GGGGCUUAUUAUAGUGACAAACUGAUGGGUCACAGUAUUUUUCCCAUGAGGCUUUGUUAUUUUUCAAGAACUACAACUCCCAGAACUCCAGGAAGUUACCUGCUUCUUGGGCAGGUGGAGCUUACAGGUUAAUUUUAGGCAUUACAUUAUAUUGUACUUGCCUCUUCAAAAACCUACCUUCAUUAUGUUGGCAAAUCUGUUUGUCCUGGUCCUAAUUCAUUGAUUUCCUCUCAGUUUUAAGCAUCAGAUUUAUAGAAAGCAAUAAUCUCUGAAGUGUCUGUAGAUGAAAUGAGAGGAGGUUUAUUAGUAAAAUACAAAGGACAAAUUAACAUUACUACCUGGCAAUUAAAAGAAACAUGUUUUUAUUUGUACCCACCUGACAUUUUUUUUUAAAUUGCUGGUUUGUACAAACCACAUUGCAUGGAGAAACCAUGUAGCAUUCUUCAUGAAUAGUAAGACAAAUAAGAGCUGCAAGAAAUUCUGUGUAAAAAUAGCCAUAUUCUUGCAAGAGCAUUUGUGUGGUUUAGCAUUAAAACUAGUUGGGCAUAGAGAACAGUUUGACUGUAAGUUAUCAGUCAGGCAAUCAAUAAAUCAAUCAAUAAAUCAGUAUAGGGCACAGUGAGUUUGAUGUAUGUACUAUUUACCAAUGGCCAAGGCAAUUCAAGAGAUGAUAUUUAUUCACUAUGUUUUAUCUUAAAAUAAAGGAGAAAACAAGGAGGGAAUUUCUAAAUAUGUAAAAAUAAAACUGUGAAGGAAGCCCACAUUCAGAAAUACCACAAGAGUCAUUUGUAAUAGCAAAUCGAAGAAGCCUAUAGUCUAAUUGUAAUUUGUACAGACUGCGUAUAUUUGUAUUGAAGAGGCUCUCUCUCUCUCUCUCUCUCUCUCUCUCUCUCUCUCUCUCUCUCUCUCUCUCUCUCUCUCUCCUGUCCCCACCUUGAGAUUGCCUUUUGCUUUCCCCUCUCCUUCAAUACACCUCUUGCUCUAGAUCUGCUGUGUGGCGUAAUUUGUUAGCAGCACACCUUGGCACAGACCCAACAAAGAUACCCCCUCCCCCCACUGCUUUAUCCAGCAAUGUCUAUGCCCUAUUUAAUAAAAGACCUUAAAUUACUGGGAAUUUGGAGGGAGUGAUUAGGUUUAUUUGCAGAAACUGAUUGGUGAGCUGGAGGUAAUAACACACACCUGUUCUCUGAGCAAUCUUGAGGUGGAAACAAACUGAUCCAAAGUUCAAAACGAUUCUCUCAUACCUAGUGACUUCAAGACUAUCCUGAGCUACAUGAGACCCUUUCUCGAACACCAAACAAUAGAAUUGGCUUAAAGAAUAUUUAGUCAAGAGAAAAAGGUAAUUUUAAGAGAUCCCACUUCUAAAGUUUAAUUUCUUUCUUGUUUCCCAUAGGUUAGCUAAAUUAACCUCUCAGUUUUAACCCAAAUUGUUCAUUGUAUUUAUGAUUCAAAAUUCCAUGAGCACUGAGGAAAAUAUUCUGUGAUUACAUUCUUCUUCAAGUAUAUAAAUUCAUUAUGCUGUGUACUGUGAAAAAAUAUUUGUGGUGAAGAGUUUUGAAAGCUUGUAGGAAAGAAGCUAUAAAAACCAAGAGGAAAGAAUGUAAGUGUAGUGUUCCCUUUACAAUUCCCACAGCUGUGUUGUUUACAUGUUUUUAGUCUCUGGAUUCGGAGCAGAUGCUUUUGACUGAAAGAUGGGAGACUUUUUUAGUCCCAUUCCAUGUUGUCAUUAAGUUUUGAUUUGUGACAUUGAGGACGUUAUGUAUUUCUAAAGCUAGGGAAUUUGAAGUACCCAUAUUUUUAAGUCAAAGUCAUGUAGAAGCCAAGUGUCUUCUGUAUGCUAAUGUUCAUUCUUGAAUAACAAUGAUAUUCAUGAAUACUUAUUAUAGUGCUUAUUAACAUUUUGUUUUUAAAUCACUGUAUUUAUCAAGCAAAUUUACUUCUAUGGAACUUUUUUAUUAUGUUCUUGAUUGGGAAAAAUUGGAAAGUGAUUUCUAUUUAUUCUAUCAUGUAAAAUCUUUACUUUUAUAAACACCUAAUUUAAAGUAUGACUUUUACUCUACUAGAGUACAGCAGGAAUUGUAAAUGUUGUGCUGACUAGUAGAAGAAAAAUUAAAAUCCAAGUUAGAGUUUUUUUGGGUUUUUUAAAAAUUAUUAUUAUUUUAAUCUUUAUUCAUUGC
rnacentral:lncRNA from 1 species